GCGGGGCUAGGUCCACCCAGGUGUUUUAACAGCUGAAGCCAGCCUGCUGUGGAUGUUAGUGAAUCAGUGAAAAGGAGAAGCUGUGAAGCUGAGCUGCAUGUCGUCGUUCAGCAGCUGAACUUCUGCUCCGUCACCUCGCUCAGCUUGUUGAGCGGCUCCAGGACUUCCUUCUCCACCGUCAGCUCGAAGUCGGC